rnacentral:sRNA from 1 species
GUACUCAAAGUCCGUACAAGUCUUUGGCUUUGUAUCUUCUAACAAGGAAACACUACGAAGGCUUUUAACGUCCAGUUGCAAUCUAGUCAUAUUUGACUCCAAAACACUAACAUAGCUUCUUCUUGCUUCUCGA